rnacentral:rRNA from 1 species
CUCCUACGGGGGGCAGCAGUGGGGAAUAUUGCACAAUGGGGGAAACCCUGAUGCAGCGACGCCGCGUGGGCGAGGAAGUACCUCGGUAUGUAAAGCUCUAUCAGCAGGGAAGAAAAUGACGGUACCUGACUAAGAAGCCCCGGCUAACUACGUGCCAGCAGCCGCGGUAAUACGUAGGGGGCAAGCGUUAUCCGGAUUUACUGGGUGUAAAGGGAGCGUAGACGGAGGAGCAAGUCUGAUGUGAAAAUCCGGGGCCCAACCCCGGAACUGCUCUGGAAACUGUGAAGCUGGAGUGCAGGAGAGGU